UACGUAGGGGGGCUAGCGUUGUCCGGAUUUAUUGGGCGUUAAAGAGCGUGUAGGCGGUCAGGUAGGUCGGUUGUGAAAACUGGAGGCUCAACCUUCAGAGGUCGACCCGAAACCCCCUGGCUAGACGUCCGGGAGAGGAGAGUGGAAUUCCUGGUGUAGCGGUGAAAUGCGCAGAUAUCAGGAGGAACACCAAUUGCGAAGGCAGCUCGCUGGGACGUUACUGACGCUGAGACGCGAAAGCGUGGGGAGCAAACAGG
rnacentral:rRNA from 1 species